AUGUUCUCAGUUAGGAGUGCGUACAAGUUAGCGCUCACCCUUAAGGAUAAAAAAGAGUAUGAGGGGCAAUCCAGUGAGGCGGUAGGGACGGAGAGGAGAAUUUGGGAUAUUAUUUGGAAGGCAAACGUUCCUCAGAAGAUUCGUAUUUUUGCAUGGAGGGUUUCUUCCAAUAGCUUGGCCGUGCAGGUUAAUAGAGUGGCGCAUCAUCAAGCCUCUAUUAGUACGUGUUCUAUUUGUGGCAUGGAGGAUGAAAAUACCUUUCAUGCGCUUGUCUUGUGCCCGAAGGCGCGUGCGCUUCGCAUGACCAUGAGGAACAUUUGGGCUCUACCUGAUGAGGUUUUCAGAUAUACGAGGUAUGAUUGGUUUAUUGUUCUCCUGAGUCAAUUAAACACCGCAAUGCGAGACCAAAUUAUAUUCUUAUUCUGGAGGGCCUGGCAUUUGAGAAAUGAUUUGAUCUUUGGUAAAGGAAAGGAAUCAGUUUCAGCUUCUGCUUGCUUUGUGGAGAAUUAUUGGGCGGCCUUUCGUGCUUAUCAUUCUCCGAUACCGGUGGAUUCAAAAAAUAAAGGAAAAGGUCCAUUGGUCCGGUUUAGCGGAGUUCCUAAUUCUCUGGAGGCGAGCAGUGGCUGGUCCCCGCCUCCUGCAUCGGGGGACUAUGACAGGUCUGCUAAGGUUCAAGAUUAA
rnacentral:rRNA from 1 species